rnacentral:lncRNA from 1 species
UAGUUUUGUUAAAUUCUUGGAGAAGAUUUUUGUAUAGUUUAAGGACGACGAUGAACGAUUGGGCCGAGUGAGCUAAAACAAAAUGUGGUAUUAUUGUCAAUGAAAUAACCUUUCACCAGAGGUAGUAGUUAACAAUUACAGGUAACAAUACGGCCUUCAACGAUGAACAAGAUGCAUUACGCAAAUCAAGCUGUGAAAAACACCGAAAUGUCAAAUGUUCAACAAUUCAAACUGGAAAAACG